UUGCAGGGAGAAAUUUCUGGAAACUUCUAUCCAAGAGGGAGAGUUCCUAAGAGAAAUUUGGACACGGAGACAAGCGUGAGAGGAGAGAAUAUGUGAAGACAGAGGAAGAAUGUCAUCUACAACCCAGCAGCUACUAGAAACUACCAGAAACUCCUGAGGCAACUGGAAGCAAGGAGAGAGGACAUGGAACAGAUCCUCCCCUCUAUUCCUCAAGAGGAACCAACCCUGCCUUCCCCUUGAUGUUGAGCUUGUAGCCUCCAGAACUGAGACAAUAAAUUUAUGUUUAAGCCAUUCA